CGAGUUAGCAACUCGGCAUUCUCUUGUAACUCGUAUGAUGAAACAACCCCUAGUGGGAGAGGGGCUAAGUUGAAGUUGGUACAGUUACAGCUCUUGAUGAUAAGCGGUCUAAACAUAGACUUGGAAGUAUUUCAGCAGUAUCUAGGGAAGAUGAUGGUCACUCAGUCUCAGCAGGUCUCUCAGUAAAGUGACAGUUGCGGAAACAGAAAACUGCCUGACUUUCAAAGCCAUUGUGGAACUCCGAAAAAAAAGUUAAUGCCAACAAGCCAUUGUGAUUCAAUAUUUCGAACUUGAUUUGUUCAAUUGCAGAAUUCAUACUAUCUUAAAUUUUAGUAAGAUUAUUCAUUUACCUUGUCAUCGAAGAAGAAAAUGCAUGGUUAUGGAGAGAUGCUGUUUCAGUACACAAAGAAUGUUGGUUUAUAUGCACGCCUGACGCAAACGAUUCUUAAAUAUGGUUCUAUAUUAUAAACUCUAGUGACGCUUUAAUAUAAUAGCCUUAUAAUUAUCGACAAAAAUGCUGAUAUAAACAGGACUGUAAGCGUAACAGUAAAUACUUAAGCCAAAUGAUAUGUGAAGGGGUAUGUCCCUACCCUAUGAAGAACAGCUGAUAUUUUUAAUUAAAGAAAUUAUGGUUUGUA